rnacentral:lncRNA from 12 species
AUGACUGAACUGAUACUGAAAACAGAGAAUGGUGCUGGUACAGUGGGAGAUUGGUUGUUUCCUGAAUGUUUAUUUGCUGUAUCUGUGCUGAUUUCAGGCUUCAUGGAAAAAAAUCCUAUUGGAUGGGGCUGCGUGAUGGUGUUCAUGCAAAUAAUCUGGGCAGUUAUGAAGUUUACAGAUGAAGACUUUAUUUAUCUUCGUUUUAAUCAGGCUUUUCAUCGUGUUGUUCCUGUGUAUCUGUUUGGAUCAGUUGGUUUUGAUUUAAUGACCUCUAUGACACUAUUACUAGAAAUGAUAUUAAGAGCUAAUGGAGAUCAUACAGUUGGAGAUUUGAGAUUCAUUGUCUUUCCUUUAGAAUCUUUCUUCCUCCUUUGUGUGCUGAUUUCAGCACACAUUCCGUCUGAGUUCGUAAACUGUCUGCAGUCUUGUCAGAAUGCAGUGAGAUCUAAACGAGUCCACACAUCACAGCAGAACCAGAACACAGCAGAAAAGACUGAAGAGCAGAACGAAACUCAGCCUGAUUCAGUGGUAUAUCACAAACAUGAGGGACUGCUUUUCUAA